rnacentral:lncRNA from 12 species
CUCCCCUUUGUAUCCUGGGCUUCCAACUGAGGAGAGUAGAUGGUCUCCAGAAAGCUCCUAUUGUGGUGUUUGCAUAAAAAUACCUGUUUCUGCAGAAAGUGUCUGAAGUCUGCCGAGAUAACUUGUAGUAAAAAGAGGAAAAGUUAAAAGUGAUUUUGUCAUUGAGAGGCCUGCGGGCCCAAUUUACCAUCUACUCUGUGUACUAAUAUGUAACAGGUAUUGUAAUGUGUUCUGUUUUGAAUUGUGAAUGUUCACAUGGUAUCCGAGAAAAAAAAUCACCCGAUGUCCAACACUUUCAUGGUAUUAUGAUGUAUUGUAGACUGGCAAGUUGAAGAUGUUAUCCUCUAUGGCCUUGGAUGCCCACCAGCAAGGAGACUUAUGGUCUCCAAAGUUCACAGCUUACCUGCCAGUUACCAUACUUGAAACAGGUGAUGACCUUAUUCUGAUUGGAAGAGCUAAAGACAGUGGAUUAUCUUUGUUAGAGAAACUUUCCAUUAUCUAAGUAAUCAGGCCGGAAGAUCGACUCUGCCAAGAAUCAUUGUUCUGCAGCCCAGUGACUUGUCAGUGCCCCCGAGCACUGCUAAGCUGGGACACCUGAGGCCGCGCUGGCGUGGUUUGGAGUGGCUGCCCCUCGAGUGGCCUGUCAUAUGUGGGGCCCAGAUGGACUCCAUGAGAUGUUUGAUCUUUUCCUCCUGGAGGCUAUUAAGUCCACCGCACUCUACUGAAAAUACUGGUAAGUAUCUGUAGGCCUAGAUGAAAUGCUGUCAAUUGAACUUCAUAGUUGUGAAGUGGGACAUUAUCAUAUCCAGUUCAUUCCCAUGCCAGCUCCCUUUUGUCCCCUCUAGCAGGGGCAACUCCAGC